AACUGCCUCCUACUCGGGCCCAGGAGGUACGAUAUGCAUAUUAUUAGUAGAUUUGGAUAGAAAACACUGAAGUUUCUAAAACUGUUUGAAUGAUGUCUGUGAGUAUAACAGAACUCAUAUGGCAGGCAAAAACCUUAGAAAAAUCCAAUCAGGAAGUGGAAAAUCUGAGGUUAUAGUUUUUUCAAGUGAUUGCCUUGACUGUAUACAGUGACUAUGGGUUCAUUUUGCACUUCCUAAAGCUUCCACUGUCAACAGUCUUUAGAACGGUGUUUGAAGAUUCUAUGGUGAAUUUGAUGGGAAUAACAGCACAAGGAAGUAAGUGUCCCAUUAUAAGGCAUGGGCUCAGUCAUGCGCAAGGACUUGGGAGCGAGCUGAGUUCAUAUUCACUCCUAAAGAGAACGGAUAGGUCUGGUUGGAAUUUUAUUGAAGAUAUAUGUUAAAAACAACCUAAAGAUUGAUUCUAUACAUCGUUUGACAUGUUUCUACAAACUGUAGUAAAACUUUUUUGACUUUCCGUCUGGACUAAGCAAGCAUGCACAUUAUGGAUUUGGAUAGUGAACCUAACGCGCAAACAAAAUGGAUGUAUUUGGACAUAAAUAUGAACUUUAUCGAACAUUUAUGUGGAGCUGGGGUUCCUGGGAGUGCCUUCUGAUGAAGAUAAUCAAAGUGUUCCAGUGUUCUUUUUGAACACCAACUCCGCUGCACCUUGGUCUUCUUCUCUCCAUGACGACAGCCCUUACAGAAUUACCCACCACAAAAGGACCAAGCAGCGGAGGAGGAAGGAGCCACAGGAGAACAGCGUGAUGGACUGGACAUGGGAGGACAUCCUGGACGGCAAGGGAUCCUACACUUGGGAGGAGAUCCUGGUCGGAAGGGAUCGCCUUCCAUGGGAACAGGUAGUGGCACUCAGAAGAGUGGAGGCAGCAGGUGAGAAGGACCAACGGCGAUGGUAUGAGGGAACACGGCUGGGAAGGAAGCCCGAGAGGCAGCCCCAAUAAAAAAAAAUUGGGGGGGCACAGGGGCUGUUUGGCGGGGCGAGGAUGGAGCCCCAGGCCAGCUCCCCACACUAGCCCUGAGGUGCGUCAGCCCAGUCUGACUCGGCCUGUUC
rnacentral:lncRNA from 1 species